GGGGACGAACAAAUGCCAGGGAGGGGUUGUCCAUCAGAGCCUACAAGAAGAUCCGUGUGGGAAAAGACAACCGAGGAUGGGGCAGUCUCUCCCAGGUUCGGUUCUCUCUCCAGCCCCACCGAUGUCCCGCAGGUGCCGGUGAGGCCUCCAUUCUCCCACGUACCAACCCCACAGUGGCUCGCCCCUUCUCCUCUGCACUGCCUCCUUCCUGUCACAUCCUGUUCUGGACCAUCACCCCCCAGCCCAGACUGACCCGUUGAAGGCAG